ACACACACAUCUUAUCCCCAUAUCAUCUACUUUUUUCCCUUAGGGCCCUUCUCAGGGCCCGCAAUUAUCUCAAUACGUGGGAAACGCAUUACGAAUGUUCACAAUACGUCUACAAGACAAAUCUGUCCUUUUCAGGACAAAAUUUCUGAACACAUGUUUGGUAUAUGAAAAAAAAAACUGUCCUUAUCAGGACAAUUUGAGUGAUUCUUUUUAUAUAGAUACAUUUAGUCGCAAUGGAUUACGGGCACUGAUACGACUACAAGAAUCAUUGCUGUUAUCAGUGGUCUUCCUAAAUGGACUAGUAAGAUGAAUGUCUGUAUGGAUGUCUGUAUGGACUAGCUCUUGCACAAUGCUCUGGCUGUGAAUAUCAAGUAAGUUUUGUAGUUUAUGGUAUAGUUAAAUUGUUGACGUGUUUUGCUUCUGGAAUAAUUUGAAAGGCCUUCGCCAUCCGCUAAUGUCUUCAAGACGCGUGAACGUCCUUGGCGAAGUCGAGAUCAUUCGAGAACAAAGUGACGGCGCGUACUGGUCUCAGUCGUGAAAUAUACGCGAGGUCAGAUUGAACGAUUCUUUUUAAAGUUGACAUUAAGGAAUUCGGUCGGCUGUUGAUUUAAUAGUAUGGAAUGGCGUUAGCUUAUCACUUUCUCGCGAUUCUUGACUGGCUGCGUACAAACUGUGGGUGCCUUAUCGGCAGCAGUGCUACCAGACGUCAGGUUUUAUCUUAUCGUGACGUAAAUAUUUUGUCAAUAGUGCGUACCAGGCAAAAAUUUUAGGUAGUACGAUUUUUUAACAGUAUCGCUUGAACUUUUUCGCCAAAUCAGACAAAAUAUUCACUUCUUUGAUGACUAAGAGAAAUCAAGACUUUUUAACGUUGCGGAAAAUGAUGAAACUUCUAAAUGAUUCUGAGAUAGUUACGCUGUUUGACGUUCUCUUCCAAUCUUGGACGUCACUGAAACGAACGUCAUUGAUGACUCAGCGAAAGUCGUUCUGGUAAAGUAAUUCGUACCUUGAGGUUUUUGUAUACGUCAAAAGUUUCAUGAAUCACGAUACAGUUAGUAUACCAACCAAAAAGGAAAUGUCCAGUGAUCAUAAUUUUCUUAUUCUUUCACAAUUUUUGCAGUUUUAUUAGUUUCUAUGGAUACAUGCUUUUAUGUCCAAUGGUAUAAGUUUAUUUUGAUGCAGCGUAUACGGAUUAUUUGUUUGAGUUAAUGAUUUGUAUUGAAAAAUAGGAGACGAUCAAUGUAACUACCAGAGCGUCCCACAUAAUUCGCCAUGAUAGUCUACUAGACGGUAUAAAUGGCGUCCAAAUGGAAACCAGUUUCCUUCGUGGAUUCAAUUCGUUUUACCAUGUGAACGUGGAUGUCGAUAAGGUUGACUUUUUAUUAUACGAUUCAGUAUUACCGACCGAGUAUAAAUUAGAUUUAGGGAUAGACGAGAUUUUUCUAAUUAAUAUAUACGUUAAUAUUUUUUUAUAUGUAGAAUGUUUUAUUAAUUAAAAAUAGUAAGAAGUGCGUUAAUAAGUGUUUCCGUAUCAUGUGUACAAUACUAUUUCCAUUUAUUUUUUGACUUUUGUAACCAUGUAUCUCAAAUUAGUUUGUCGCGUUCAGUCAGCCCAUGAGUCAGCCUUUAUUAUGCUACGCCAUAUUAAUGUUACAGGUUUAGCUGAGAAACGUCGACUUUCACUUCCAGGUUGGUACAUACCUAAUACACCGUAACUAGUACUGUACGAAUAUGAAACCUGACUGUAUACGUAAGUAGAAUUCUAUAUGUAAAUAGAAAUUGAGUAUUAAGCUCUUGUAAGUUGAAAUAUAAAACCAUAUUUACUUAAGAUAAUUGUCCCAGGUUAAUUAAAAGCUCAGUACAUGUAAAGAGCUUACAAGAAAUAUGGUAUUAGCACUUUGAGAAAUAGAAGUAACAAGAGGAAAAGGUAAUGGAGAUAAAUCAGAGAAUAGGCUGUUUGGCUACUGUGGUCGAUAACGUAACCAACGAAUUGUAUGAAAAUGCCGAAAAUAGCAGAAAAGGCGGGUUAAUAACAGACGUAGAAAAUUUGUCAAUGUUCCAAGUUCCCAGGGAGUUUAAAAUCUUGUAUAAUAAUGACAAGCUACCCAAUGACGUGUUUCAAGGCGUUAACAGUCACAAUUGGCGUUUCUUAAAAAUAUUCAAUAUUUUUGUCUAUUAUUAAUCCAGCAGGCGCCCAGAUGCCGACGUCGUCAUACACGUUGUUCGACGUAACGUUAACUGGUUCCUUGGCUUUUCCGGCCUGAGUGCGCCUGCACGUUACGAAGACGAAGUUUGAUUACGUUCCAAGUUCUGAAACUCGAGGUUGGACAACAAACUUUGGGUUUGACACGAGGCCAAGAUGCCAGGAUGUUUGUAGUUGCUUCUUUUCCUUGGGACGCUACGUGACUUUCCCGGGCGAAGAAAUGAGUAGGAAAAGAGUCGAAGCUUUGACAGAGUAAAGAAAAAGUAAGCAUGAAAUUGUUUCAUGUUGUUGGUUUAUUUUUCUGUCACGCUGCCAAAGUAUUUAUAUGCAACCGAGUGAAUCUCGUGCUUCUUAAUUUGGACCAGAGUUAUUCUUGGGGUCGGCGUGGACUUCACGUGGGAUUUAAUACCUCUGUCUUCGAGUCACCCGCUAUAAGCCGUGACGCAUUUACCUCACGUAGUAGCUGGAGAGUUUUACGGCUAUUACGGGAGUGACUAAGCUGAGAUCCGUUCUAGUUACUCAUGAGAUACUCAGAGAAGUUUUGAAAACUUUGACUUGUGCGACAGAACGCUGCUCAAGAGAUUAGAGAGUGAAAAUAUAGAAACUUAACCGAUACUUUCUAAAAGGCAAGAUUUUUCACGAUAUUGUAUAAACAUAAGUAUCACUCGAAAAUACCAAGUAAAAUUGUUUCUAACGUAAUUUUAUAUUGGUCGUUAUUAAAUAAAAUUUUACAGACAAUUA